rnacentral:rRNA from 1 species
CAGCAGUGGGAAUAUUGCACAAUGGGCGCAAGCCUGAUGCAGCCAUGCCGCGUGUAUGAAGAAGGCCUUCGGGUUGUAAAGUACUUUCAGCAGUGAGGAAGGUGGGUAUGUUAAUAGCAUACUCAUUUGACGUUAGCUGCAGAAGAAGCACCGGCUAACUCCGUGCCAGCAGCCGCGGUAAUACGGAGGGUGCGAGCGUUAAUCGGAAUUACUGGGCGUAAAGCGCAUGCAGGUGGUUUGUUAAGUCAGAUGUGAAAGCCCGGGGCUCAACCUCGGAAUUGCAUUUGAAACUGGCAAACUAGAGUACUGUAGAGGGGGUAGAAUUUCAGGUGUAGCGGUGAAAUGCGUAGAGAUCUGAAGGAAUACCGGUGGCGAAGGCGGCCCCCUGGACAGAUACUGACACUCAGAUGCGAAAGCGUGGGGAGCAAACAGGAUUAGAUACCCUGAUAG